rnacentral:rRNA from 1 species
GAUCCUGGCUCAGAGUGAACGCUGGCGGCGUGCCUAAUACAUGCAAGUCGAACGAUGAAGCUCUAGCUUGCUAGAGUGGAUUAGUGGCGCACGGGUGAGUAAUGCAUAGAUAACAUGCCCUUUAGUCUAGGAUAGCCAUUGGAAACGAUGAUUAAUACUGGAUACUCCUUACGAGGGAAAGUUUUUCGCUAAAGGAUUGGUCUAUGUCCUAUCAGCUUGUUGGUGAGGUAAUGGCUCACCAAGGCUAUGACGGGUAUCCGGCCUGAGAGGGUGAACGGACACACUGGAACUGAGACACGGUCCUGACUCCUACGGGAGGCAGCAGUAGGGAAUAUUGCUCAAUGGGGGAAACCCUGAAGCAGCAACGCCGCGUGGAGGAUGAAGGUUUUCGGAUUGUAAACUCCUUUUGUUAGAGAAGAUAAUGACGGUAUCUAACGAAUAAGCACCGGCUAACUCCGUGCCAGCAGCCGCGGUAAUACGGAGGGUGCAAGCGUUACUCGGAAUCACUGGGCGUAAAGAGCGCGUAGGCGGGAUAGCAAGUCAGAUGUGAAAUCCUAUGGCUUAACCAUAGAACUGCAUUUGAAACUGUUAUUCUAGAGUAUGGGAGAGGUAGGUGGAAUUCUUGGUGUAGGGGUAAAAUCCGUAGAGAUCAAGAGGAAUACUCAUUGCGAAGGCGACCUGCUAGAACAUAACUGACGCUGAUGCGCGAAAGCGUGGGGAGCAAACAGGAUUAGAUACCCUGGUAGUCCACGCCCUAAACGAUGAAUGCUAGUUGUUGUGGAGCUUGUCUCUGCAGUAAUGCAGCUAACGCAUUAAGCAUUCCGCCUGGGGAGUACGGUCGCAAGAUUAAAACUCAAAGGAAUAGACGGGGACCCGCACAAGCGGUGGAGCAUGUGGUUUAAUUCGAAGAUACACGAAGAACCUUACCUAGGCUUGACAUUGAUAGAAUCCGCUAGAGAUAGUGGAGUGCUAGCUUGCUAGAACUUGAAAACAGGUGCUGCACGGCUGUCGUCAGCUCGUGUCGUGAGAUGUUGGGUUAAGUCCCGCAACGAGCGCAACCCUCGUCCUUAGUUGCUAACUAUUCGGUAGAGCACUCUAAGGAGACUGCCUUCGCAAGGAGGAGGAAGGUGAGGAUGACGUCAAGUCAUCAUGGCCCUUACGCCUAGGGCUACACACGUGCUACAAUGGGAAGCACAAAGAGAUGCAAUAUUGUGAAAUGGAGCAAAUCUAUAAAACUUCUCUCAGUUCGGAUUGUAGUCUGCAACUCGACUACAUGAAGCUGGAAUCGCUAGUAAUCGUAAAUCAGCUAUGUUACGGUGAAUACGUUCCCGGGUCUUGUACUCACCGCCCGUCACACCAUGGGAGUUGUAUUCGCCUUAAGUCGGAAUGCCAAACUGGCUACCGCCCACGGCGGAUGCAGCGACUGGGGUGAAGUCGUAACAAGGUACCC